CCUACGGGAGGCAGCAGUGAGGAAUAUUGGUCAAUGGCCGUAAGGCUGAACCAGCCAAGUCGCGUGAAGGAAGAAGGAUCUAUGGUUUGUAAACUUCUUUUAUAGGGGAAUAAAGGUAUCCACGUGUGGAUAUUUGCAUGUACCCUAUGAAUAAGCAUCGGCUAACUCCGUGCCAGCAGCCGCGGUAAUACGGAGGAUGCGAGCGUUAUCCGGAUUUAUUGGGUUGAAAGGGUGCGUAGGUUGUUGUUUAAGUCAGCGGUGAAAGUUUGUGGCUCAACCAUAAAAUUGCCGUUGAAACUGGAAGACGUGAGUGUGUUUGAGGUAGGCGGAAUGCGUGGUGUAGCGGUGAAAUGCAUAGAUAUCACGCAGAACUCCGAUUGCGAAGGCAGCUUACUAAGCCAUAACUGACACUGAAGCACGAAAGCGUGGGGAUCAAACAGGAUUAGAUACCCCUGUAGUC
rnacentral:rRNA from 1 species